UCCCCGAUAGCUCAGCUGGUAGAGCGACGGACUGUUAAUCCGCAGGUCCGAGGUUCGAGCCCUCGUCGGGGAGCCA
rnacentral:tRNA from 4 species